rnacentral:rRNA from 1 species
CCUACGGGGAGCUGCAGUGGGGAAUAUUGGACAAUGGGCGAAAGCCUGAUCCAGCCAUGCCGCGUGUGUGAAGAAGGCCUUCGGGUUGUAAAGCACUUUCAGUGGGGAAGAAAGCCUUGGGGCUAAUACCCUCGAGGAAGGACAUCACCCACAGAAGAAGCACCGGCUAACUCCGUGCCAGCAGCCGCGGUAAUACGGAGGGUGCGAUCGUUAAUCGGAAUUACUGGGCGUAAAGCGCGCGUAGGCGGUCUGAUAAGCCGGUUGUGAAAGCCCCGGGCUCAACCUGGGAACGGCAUCCGGAACUGUCAGGCUAGAGUGCAGGAGAGGAAGGUAGAAUUCCCGGUGUAGCGGUGAAAUGCGUAGAGAUCGGGAGGAAUACCAGUGGCGAAGGCGGCCUUCUGGACUGACACUGACGCUGAGGUGCGAAAGCGUGGGUAGCAAACAGGAUUAGAUACCCCAGUAGUC